AGCAGUAGCCGCGGUAAUACCAGCAGCCCAAGUGGUGGUCGCGAUUAUUGGGCCUAAAGCGCUCGUAGCCGGGCCGGUAAGUCCCUUGUGAAAUCGGACGGCCUAACCGUUCGGCGUGCAAGGGAUACUGUCGGUCUUGAGGCCGGGAGACGUCCGAGGUACUCCGGGGGUAGCGGUGAAAUGUUCUAAUCCUCGGGGGACCACCGGUGGCGAAGGCGUUCGACGGGAACGGGCCUGACGGUGAGGGGCGAAGGCUAGGGGAGCAAACGGGAUUAGAUACCCCCGUAGUCCCUGUCUCUUAUA
rnacentral:rRNA from 1 species